CAGUACAGUAGAGACUGGGAAGUAGUAGUAGAUAUUAAAAUUUAUAUUACAGUUAAAAACAUAUUAGAAUGGUGAACGCUGGCUGUGUUAUAAACUAUCUGCAUAUACUGACCAGCGUGGAAAACGGAUGUGAAAUGGAGCGCCAUUUUGUCCCAUUUUCGGGACAUUCUAAAACGCUUAACGUGGCUUAAUAAGCAGAAGUGGAGAUAGUUUGUGCAACAGCAACAAGGAGCUAAGAGCAAAACUGACAGUGGUGGAGAGAGAAGAAGUGCCCUUGACGAGGAAACCAUGGCAGCCAUAUAGUCAAGAAGAGAUUUCCAAAUGUGUCCAAGGAGGCUUUGAGGAUUUGAACUGGGGAAACGGAGACUUCUUGAAAGCAAAAAAGUUAUAUUUGUUUGAAUAUAUUGUAAUAUUGUAUAUUUUUUGAACAUUGUAAAGUAUGUUCCUUGCUGAUUUUUAUUCAAAUGUUCACGUG